UGUUCUAUGGCCGAACUGGUAAAGGUCUGAUCACAGGCAAGGCUGCGGGUUCGAGUCCCGCUGGAACGG
rnacentral:tRNA from 1 species